UCAUAUAAUCCCAGCCGUCAGCGAGAUGAAGUUUCCAUUUAUGGAGGGAAAGUGCAAAAGGCGGUAAAAUUCCAAUUUGAAACUCAUCCCCAAAACCUAACACUGGAUCGGGAUCCCGCAAUUUCAAUGCAACUCCAUCUCUCUUCCGAUUUCCGCAGCUUCAUUGCCGUCUCUCAACUCGUCUCCGAUACGCUCAGCAGAAUUACUGAGCGUAUCUUCUCCAGAAGCUUGAACGGGUUUAUUCAUCAGCAGUAACCAAUGAGUGCAGGUAAACAUCAUUUACAAUGUUACUUGUUAAAUGAUUCGACUUCACACCUUCUUCAGCUGUAUAUAAAGUCUUUCAUUCCAGUUUCUUUGUAUAAACCGUUAUAAUGUUUUCGGAUAUUCUGGGAAUUUAUUGAAAGGAUUACUCCUUUCUGGGAAUUUAUUGAACAACUAAUCUGUACAGAAUACAAUCAACUCAUCGCGAGAUCUCACAUUUUCUGAAUGAUGCUGGCUUUCUGCUGCCCGCCUGUCAUAUAAUGUGUGCAUCUCAUGCUAGAGGAAGAAUAAUUGAAUGUGCUAGAAUUUGUUAGUAGUUGUUCUUCUCAUACAGUCAGUAGUCUUCUGCAAAUCUGA